GACGAACGCUGGCGGCGUGCUUAACACAUGCAAGUCGAACGAGGCCCCACCUUCGGGUGGGUGUUCUAGUGGCGAACGGGUGAGUAACACGUGGGCCACCUGCCCCCGGCUCUGGGAUAACCCCAAGAAAUUGGGGCUAAUACCGGAUAGGACCGCUGACCGCAUGGGCUGGUGGUGGACAGUGUUUCGGCUGGGGAGGGGCCCGCGGCCUAUCAGCUUGUUGGUGGGGUAGUGGCCUACCAAGGCGACGACGGGUAGCCGGCCUGAGAGGAUGACCGGCCACACUGGGACUGAGACACGGCCCAGACUCCUACGGGAGGCAGCAGUGGGGAAUAUUGCGCAAUGGGCGGAAGCCUGACGCAGCGACGCCGCGUGGGGGAUGACGGCCUUCGGGUUGUAAACCUCUUUCAGCAGGGACGAAGCCGCAAGGUGACGGUACCUGCAGAAGAAGCACCGGCCAACUACGUGCCAGCCGCCGCCGUAAUAC
rnacentral:rRNA from 1 species